GAAAAUAUAACGGGGCUAAAGUAAGUACCGAAGCUGUAGACUUGCGCACAACUUAGAUUAUUUAAGUUUAGAAUAUGAGAAACUAAGUUAUGUUUAGUUAUAUUUUUACUGAUUUUUAUAGAGUAAAGAUAGAAAUAAAACUUAGUAAAAUCAGUAAAAAUAUUCUUAGGCUAAAGUUAAGUAGUUUAAGUUGUGUGCAAGUGGUAGGAGAGCGUUCUAUUUGCGUCGAAGGUAUACCGGUAAGGAGUGCUGGAGCGAAUAGAAGUGAGCAUGCAGGCAUGAGUAGCGAUAAUUAAUGUGAGAAUCAUUAACGCCGUAAACCCAAGGUUUCCUACGCGAUGCUCGUCAUCGUAGGGUUAGUCGGGUCCUAAGUCGAGUCCGAAAGGGGUAGACGAUGGCAAAUUGGUUAAUAUUCCAAUACCAACAUUAGUGUGCGAUGGAAGGACGCUUAGGGCUAAGGGGGCUAGCGGAUGGAAGUGCUAGUCUAAGGUCGUAGGAGGUUGUACAGGCAAAUCCGUAUAACAAUACUCCGAGAACUGAAAGGCUUUUUGAAGUCUUCGGAUGGAUAGAAGAACCCCUGAUGCUGUCGAGCCAAGAAAAGUUUCUAAGUUUAGCUAAUGUUGCCCGUACCGUAAACCGACACAGGUGGGUGGGAUGAGUAUUCUAAGGCGCGUGGAAGAACUCUCUUUAAGGAACUCUGCAAAAUAGCACCGUAUCUUCGGUAUAAGGUGUGGUUAGCUUUGUAUUAGGAUUUACUCCGAAAGCAAGGAAACUUACAACAAAGAGUCCCUCCCGACUGUUUACCAAAAACACAGCACUCUGCUAACUCGUAAGAGGAUGUAUAGGGUGUGACGCCUGCCCGGUGCUCGAAGGUUAAUUGAUGGGGUUAGCAUUAGCGAAGCUCUUGAUCGAAGCCCGAGUAAACGGCGGCCGUAACUAUAACGGUCCUAAGGUAGCGAAAUUCCUUGUCGGUUAAAUACCGACCUGCAUGAAUGGCGUAACGAGAUGGGAGCUGUCUCAAAGAGGGAUCCAGUGAAAUUGUAGUGGAGGUGAAAAUUCCUCCUACCCGCGGCAAGACGGAAAGACCCCGUGGACCUUUACUACAGCUUGACACUGCUACUUGGAUAAGAAUGUGCAGGAUAGGUGGGAGGCUUUGAGUAUAUGACGCCAGUUGUAUAUGAGCCAUUGUUGAGAUACCACUCUUUCUUAUUUGGGUAGCUAACCAGCUUGAGUUAUCCUCAAGUGGGACAAUGUCUGGUGGGUAGUUUGACUGGGGCGGUCGCCUCCCAAAUAAUAACGGAGGCUUACAAAGGUUGGCUCAGAACGGUUGGAAAUCGUUCGUAGAGUAUAAAGGUAUAAGCCAGCUUAACUGCAAGACAUACAAGUCAAGCAGAGACGAAAGUCGGUCUUAGUGAUCCGGUGGUUCUGUGUGGAAGGGCCAUCGCUCAAAGGAUAAAAGGUACCCCGGGGAUAACAGGCUGAUCUCCCCCAAGAGCUCACAUCGACGGGGAGGUUUGGCACCUCGAUGUCGGCUCAUCGCAUCCUGGGGCUGGAGCAGGUCCCAAGGGUAUGGCUGUUCGCCAUUUAAAGCGGUACGCGAGCUGGGUUCAGAACGUCGUGAGACAGUUCGGUCCCUAUCUGCCGUGGGCGUAAGAAGAUUGAAGAGAUUUGACCCUAGUACGAGAGGACCGGGUUGAACAAACCACUGGUGUAGCUGUUGUUCUGCCAAGAGCAUCGCAGCGUAGCUAAGUUUGGAAAGGAUAAACGCUGAAAGCAUCUAAGCGUGAAGCCAACUCUAAGAUGAAUCUUCUCUAAGCUCUCUAGAAGACUACUAGUUUGAUAGGCUGGGUGUGUAAUGGAUGAAAGUCCUUUAGCUGACCAGUACUAAUAGAGCGUUUGGCUUAUCUUU
rnacentral:rRNA from 1 species